AGUGUUUCAUUGGCCAGAAUGAUCACAUGGCUGAGCUAAAGUCAAGGGCAGGGAAAUACAAUUCUUCCAUGGAGGUGGUGGAGGGAAGGAGUGAAGAAUUUUGAAAAGUAAUUUAAUCUAUCACAGUCAUUAAAUGACUGGCUUGGCAUUUCAAUACAAAUACUUUUGACUCCAAAUGCCAUUGUCUUUCUUUUAUGGUAGUGUUUGAAUAAUUGAAAAACUUUCCAAGGCAUAAGAUGGAAGCAGUUGAAACUUUCAAACAAAUUAGUUAUUCUCAUCUUUCUGGCCAGACAUGAGACAACAGUCCCAUGGGAUUAAUUUUUGCUACAUUUGCAUUUUGAGCGAGUUCCCUGAUACAUUUCAGUGGUGCCCAACAGUUUGUUAUGCAGACUGUUUCAAAUCAGGACAGCAGCUCUCACUUCAAGUCUGAUAUGAUCCGCGUGACCAUAGCUGAAACCUUGAACUUUGGACCUUAAACAAAGUCUGCCAUAUAUAGCUUACAUAUUCCUAGCAGAAUGUGGCCUAUCAGUGACUUGUCCAUCUGGCUUGGCUAAGCUCUCUCCAUACCACGCUGAGUUAGAGGGGGAAAAAGUCAGUGAAGUUAGCCAUGAAGGAGAACUUUCUGCUUGGAAAAGUGUUAAGAUGGUUAGUACUACUCACUUCAAAAUGGAUAAACGGUGUCGUGCAAUCAAUAAAUAUGCUCCAAGCAUUUUUUAUUUAUG
ensembl:lncRNA Novel transcript